UACGUAGGGUGCAAGCGUUAAUCGGAAUUACUGGGCGUAAAGCGUGCGCAGGCGGUGAUGUAAGACAGAUGUGAAAUCCCCGGGCUCAACCUGGGAACUGCAUUUGUGACUGCAUCGCUGGAGUGCGGCAGAGGGGGGAUGGAAUUCCGCGUGUAGCAGCGAAAUGCGUAGAUAUGCGGAGGAACACCGAUGGCGAAGGCAAUCCCCCUGGGCCUGCACUGACGCUCAUGCACGAAAGCGUGGGGAGCAAACAGG
rnacentral:rRNA from 1 species